GCCGGGGUGGCGGAACUGGUAGACGCACCAGACUCAAAAUCUGGCGUUGGCAACAACGUGUCGGUUCGAUUCCGACCCUCGGCACCA
rnacentral:tRNA from 1 species